CGUCAGUGCUACAGUGCCUUCAGUUUUAAAGGACGGGAAUCUCCCCGUCCAUCACUUCCACAGACACCUCCUAUGUGCCAUUGCAGAUGUCUCCCUUUGAAGUCAAGGUGGUUUAAAUUUCUGCCCUACCACCUUCACAGAAUCAUUAGGGUUGGAAGGGACCCCUGGAGAUCCUCUAGUCCACCCCCCUGCCAAAGCAGGGCCACCUUGAGCAAGUUGCACAGGAUCAUGUCCAGGAAGGUUUUGAAUGGCUCCAGAGAGGGAGGCUCCACAACGCCCCUGGGGCAACCUGUUCCAGUGCUCUGCCACCCUCAACGUAAAACUCUUCCUCAUGUUAAGGCCCAGCUCCCACAAGCUCUCCUCAUAGGAGAGAUGCUCCAGACCCCUGAUCAUCCUUGAGGCGCUUCACAGGACUCUUUCCAGUAGCUUCUUGUCUUUCUUGUACUGAGAAGCCCAGAAUUGGACACAGUACUCCAGAUGUGGCCUCACCAGGGUCAAGUAGAGAGGUAGGAUCACCUCCAUUGACCUCAUGGCCAUGCUCCUCCUGAUGCACCCCAGGAUACUAUUUGCACUCCUGGCCGAAAGGGCACACUGCUCGCUCAUAGUCCUUUAAGGACUAACAUCACAAGAAGCAAUGGAACGACAGAGGCUUUGAAUGGUUAAGUUUCCACUGUACAGCCCUUAGGGGUGAGCCAGGCUCCAGUAAGCACGUGGUUUCCACAGGGCACUUGGAUGCUAUGUUUGGGUGGAAAAAUGUUACUAGAAUAGAUAUAUACUCAUUUAAGCAGCCACGUGAUGUGAACUGCUGGUAUUUCUGCUUCUGCUAGAAGAAAAAUUCAAAGCAUGCCUCUGCCAUUAUUUACACUGUCUAAAAAUACCCUAAACGAUUAGCGCAUGCCAUAAUGAUGCCUGAUGGAACAGAAGGAUUCACAGAAAAUUGUGAGCAUUUGUUCAGAUGAGGGAAAAGACCAAUUCCCCUCACACACGUGAUGAAAGGUCACACUUCUUGCAGGUCACACUACUUCUCCUUUGUUUCCAGCUUGUCUCCAGCACAGCUGCUGUGCUUAGCCAUUGAGAUAUGAACAUGCAGCAGGAUAGUUUCCAAUGAGGAAACCAACAUUUUAAAAGAGUGCUGCCAGUUUCCAAAGUGUUAGUGCACACCCAGCCCAUUGUAUUCAGAGCACUGGUCAAGCCUUGCAGCCUGUCUGUGGCCCAACUUGUCUGUGGCCCUGCCAUACGCAUUUUAAAAGGUGGCAGUACCAGUUGUUACAGUCCAUGUUACAAACCUUGCAGAUGCCCAUAAAGCGCAGUGGAGACAUCUUUCCUGAUAGGAAAAUUUAGGGUUAGCUUUUUCUUAAAUAUUCACUGUAUCUAACUAGUCAGUUAAGUCUGAGCAGUUCCAGGUGUAAAAAGCUACAAAUUACACAGGCUUAAAGAACUGAAAAACAAAGUUAACUGUACAGCUUGCAUUCUUCCAUGGCUAAGCAUCAGCAUAAACUUUUUAGAGGGUGGAUUGCUGAGCUUCAGUUCUGCCGAAAUGUCAUAUAAACAUGUAUAUUCCUUAA